rnacentral:rRNA from 1 species
UGAGGAAUAUUGGUCAAUGGGCGAGAGCCUGAACCAGCCAAGUCGCGUGAAGGAAGACUGUCCUAUGGAUUGUAAACUUCUUUUGUACGGGAAUAAAGUGGGCUACGUGUAGCCUUUUGUAUGUACCGUACGAAUAAGGAUCGGCUAACUCCGUGCCAGCAGCCGCGGUAAUACGGAGGAUCCGAGCGUUAUCCGGAUUUAUUGGGUUUAAAGGGUGCGUAGGUGGAUUGAUAAGUCAGUGGUGAAAGUUUGCAGCUUAACUGUAAAAUUGCCGUUGAAACUGUCGGUCUUGAGUGCAAAUGAGGUAGGCGGAAUGCGUCGUGUAGCGGUGAAAUGCUUAGAUAUGACGCAGAACUCCGAUUGCGAAGGCAGCUUACUGGGAUGCAACUGACACUGAGGCACGAAAGCGUGGGUAUCAAACA